AAUUAUUCUUACCGGGCUCCUGUUACUUGUCGGCAGUUGACAUAAAGAAGGGAAUCAAAGAUUUUUUUAGUUCUGAAAUGAGGAAACAUCAGUAUAAAGAAUGGAAGCAGAGACAGUUCUCCAAGUUCAGUGAGAGGGAGUUAACUAACUGCUUUGAAAUAGGAACAGUCAACCAUAAAUUGGCUUCUUCAUUCCAUUGGAUUACAGCGUAAACAUCAUCCUACCAAUUCUUGUCCACAUUUACUUGCGGGAGAGCACUGAGCACUGCCUGUUUAACUAAAGAUGUUGCACAAAGUUCAUAUCUGUCUCAAGUAUUGCCAUUUUGAUUCCAAAGCAUUUGAUUCUAAAACAAGACAUAUCAAAUUAAUUCUACUAAAUGUGCAUUUGAUUAUAUGAUGAUGACCCAUUUAAUUUCAUUGGAUUACUUAAGUUCCUUUUGUGGUAUUCCAUAUUAUCAUCACGCAUCAUUUUAGUCACUUUUCUUUGGUGUUCCAACUUUCAACAUAUUAAAAGAAGUUACGAAACAGCAGUGAGUUCAUUUCGUUGUUUGUUCCAAAUACGAACCAAGG